AUUGAGCGCUGGCGGCAGGCCUAACACAUGCAAGUCGAACGGUAACAGAAAGCAGCUUGCUGCUUUGCUGACGAGUGGCGGACGGGUGAGUAAUGUCUGGGAAACUGCCUGAUGGAGGGGGAUAACUACUGGAAACGGUAGCUAAUACCGCAUAACGUCGCAAGACCAAAGAGGGGGACCUUCGGGCCUCUUGCCAUCGGAUGUGCCCAGAUGGGAUUAGCUAGUAGGUGGGGUAACGGCUCACCUAGGCGACGAUCCCUAGCUGGUCUGAGAGGAUGACCAGCCACACUGGAACUGAGACACGGUCCAGACUCCUACGGGAGGCAGCGGUGGGGAAUAUUGCACAAUGGGCGCAAGCCUGAUGCAACCAUGCCGCGUGUAUGAAGAAGGCCUUCGGGUUGUAAAGUACUUUCAGCGGGGAGGAAGGGAGUAAAGUUAAUACCUUUGCUCAUUGACGUUACCCGCAGAAGAAGCACCGGCUAACUCCGUG
rnacentral:rRNA from 1 species